rnacentral:piRNA from 1 species
UGGGUCAGUAUGUGACAGGGAUGCCUUUC